GAUGAACGCUAGCGACAGGCUUAACACAUGCAAGUCGAGGGGCAGCAUAAAAGUAGCAAUACUUUGGUGGCGACCGGCGCACGGGUGAGUAACGCGUAUGCAACCUACCUAUCAGAGGGGAAUAAUCCGGCGAAAGUCGGACUAAUACCGCAUAAAACAGGGGCACCGCAUGGUGAUAUUUGUUAAAGAAAUUCGCUGAUAGAUGGGCAUGCGUUCCAUUAGGUAGUUGGUGAGGUAACGGCUCACCAAGCCGACGAUGGACAGGGGAACUGAGAGGUUGGUCCCCCACACUGGUACUGAGACACGGACCAGACUCCUACGGGAGGCAGCAGUGAGGAAUAUUGGUCAAUGGGCGUGAGCCUGAACCAGCCAAGUCGCGUGAAGGAAGAAGGAUCUAUGGUUCGUAAACUUCUUUUGCAGGGGAAUAAAGUGCAGGACGUGUCCUGUUUUGUAUGUACCCUGAGAAUAAGGAUCGGCUAACUCCGUGCCAGCCGCCGCAGUAAAAC
rnacentral:rRNA from 1 species